rnacentral:rRNA from 1 species
AUAUAACGGGGCUAAAAUGAGUACCGAAGCUUUAGACUUAGUUUUUAACUAAGUGGUAGGAGAGCGUUCUAUUCAGCGUUGAAGGUAUACCGGUAAGGAGUGCUGGAGCGGAUAGAAGUGAGCAUGUAGGCAUGAGUAGCGAUAAUCUAGGUGAGAAUCCUAGACGCCGAAAACCCAAGGUUUCCUACGCGAUGCUCGUCAUCGUAGGGUUAGUCGGGUCCUAAGCAAAGUCCGAAAGGGGUAUGCGAUGGAAAAUUGGUUAAUAUUCCAAUACCAAUUAUUAUGUGCGAUGGAAGGACGCUUAAAGUUAGUGGAGCUAGCGGAUGGAAGUGCUAGUCUAAGGGUGUAGGUUGAGUUAUAGGCAAAUCCGUAACUCUUUAUCCGAGACCUAAAAGGCUCAUGACGCUCUUCGGAGUAGAUUGAGAAU